rnacentral:rRNA from 1 species
AUUGAACGCUGGCGGCAGGCCUAACACAUGCAAGUCGGACGGUAGCACGGAGGAGCUUGCUCCUCGGGUGACGAGUGGCGGACGGGGGAGUAAUGUCUGGGGAUCUGCCCGAUAGAGGGGGAUAACCACUGGAAACGGUGGCUAAUACCGCAUAACGUCGCAAGACCAAAGAGGGGGACCUUCGGGCCUCUCACUAUCGGAUGAACCCAGAUGGGAUUAGCUGGUAGGCGGGGUAACGGCCCACCUAGGCGACGAGCCCUAGCUGGUCUGAGAGGAUGACCAGCAACACGGGAACUGAGACACGGUCGAGACUCCUACGGGAGGAAGCAGUGGGGAAUAGUGGACAAGGGGCGCAAGCCUGAUGCAGCAAGGCGGGGUGUAUGAAGAAGGCCUUCGGGUUGUAAAGUACUUUCAGCGGGGAGGAAGGCGAUGUGGUUAAUAACCGCGUCGAUUGACGUUACCCGCAGAAGAAGCACCGGCUAACUCCGUGCCAGCCGCCGCUGUAA